rnacentral:lncRNA from 1 species
AACAAGUAAGGUCAUAAAUUUCGCAUAAAUUCCCAGCAUAGCAUCACAAAAUAUUAAUGUGAUGCCACAAGAGUUUCCCUUUUUGAGAUAAGCGAUGUCACACAUAAUAAGCAUGCUCAUUUAAUUGUUUUCUCUCAACUAAGCUAGUUUGGUUUUUUGGACGAGCAUAAGGGGAUCAAAGAUGAUCCAAGUAAUAAGCUUCAAUAGAAGAUACAUUUUGUGUGUUUCCUCAACUUUUGGAGCAGCAAGUACAUCAAUUUUUUUGGUGUUUUGUAUUUCCCACCCAUAACUAAAGAUAUAAAACAACUAAUCACAGAAAAUAAAAAUUACUUAGUGAUAGAGCAAACAAGAACACACCAGAAUAUAAACCACUACGCUAUUGCUCCCAGG